rnacentral:rRNA from 1 species
GGGAGCAAACAGGAUUAGAUACCCUGGUAGUCCACGCCGUAAACGAUGGGCACUAAGCGUCCGACGGGUUCGACCCUGUUGGGUGCUGCAGUUAACGCGUUAAGUGCCCCGCCUGGGGAGUACGGUCGCAAGACUAAAACUCAAAGGAAUAGACGGGGACCCGCACAAGUAGUGGAUCAUGUGGUUUAAUUCGACGAUAAGCGAUAACCUUACCUGGGUUUGACAUAUAGCUGCAAGGUCCUAAUAAGACCCGCCUUCGAGGGUGCUAUACAGGUGUUGCAUGGUUGCCGUCAGCUCGUGCCGUGAGGUGUACCCUUCAGUGGGGUAACGAGCGCAACCCACGUCUAGUGUUACACUUUCACUAGAGACUGCCUGCGCAAGCAGGAGGAAGGUGUGGAUGACGUCAAAUCAGCAUGACCCUUACAUCCAGGGCUACACACAUGAUACAAUGGCCAACACAACGGGUAGCCAAGCCGCAAGGUGGAGCCAAUCCCUUAAAGUUGGUCUCAGUUCGGAUCGAAGGCUGCAACUCGCCUUCGUGAAGUCGGAAUUACUAGUAAUCGCGGAUCAGAUCGCCGCGGUGAAUACGUUCUCGGGUCUUGUACUCACCGCCCGUCAUACCACGAAAGUUGGUAGUGCCCGAAGGCCCUUCACGGGGACGAAGGUAAGAUCAAUGAUCAGGGUAAAGUCGUAACAAGGCAUCCGUAGCGGAAGCUGUGGAUG